rnacentral:lncRNA from 1 species
GCCGCAGCCGCCGCGCAGGCAGGGCCGGGCCGGGCCGGGUGCGCGGGCACAAAGGGGCCGCUGCACAUGGCAGGCAGGCGAGCAGAUGCCAGCAGACAGCUUUUGUCGUCCAGUCUCCCAGUCAUCCGCCUGACCUGCUCCUGUCUGAACAUCCUACCGCGAGUCAAGGCAAAUGGGCUCAGCCGCUGUUCCACUCCACCCAGGCUUGGAGUGGACUCCCCGUGAGCCUGCAGAGGGGCAGGAUGCUGAGUAGCAGGCCAUGCGGGUGCGCCCGGGGUCUCACCCCAGCCCCAGGGAAGAGGCUGUUUCAUUCAGUGAACCAAGAGGUGAUGAAGGGGAGAGCUCAAGCGGCCUCCUGUUCCCUUGGGAACUUGAGGGGGUGUCGGGAUGUGUUCCCUUUCUGCACUCAGCUGGGAAAGAGCUGGUGGAGAAUUUUCCCUUCUGAGCAGAGAGAGAAUUCUCUUCACCUCCCCCGCCCCGCCCCCGCCCACUCCCACAGCCACCAGUUCUCUGGGCAACCCUAGUUAGCAGUUUGGGCCUUUCUUUCUGCACACAAUUGACCUGGAGGGCCUGAGUCUGGUCCAUUCAGAGGCCACAUGGAACACUCUGUUUUUGUCACUGCCCUCUCAUCUUCUAGAAGCAUAACCUUAUCCAACAGAAAGAGGCAAAAGCGAUUGGGCCCGACCUCUCCCAGUGACAGUGUUUGCACUUCAUUCCAUGGCACAGCGUCUUCUGUAACUUUAAGAUUUAACAUUUCAGAUUAUUUUCCACUGGGGCUCCCAUCGAUGCUGAGUUCUGGCUACUUUUUUCCCCUGAUGCUGAAAGGUUCGAUUCUUCCAUCUAUCCAUCAACAAAUCACAUUGAAUGACGGUGCUCAGUGACCCAGGAUGCCACUGGAGACAAAACACACUAUACAUAUUUUCUGGUCUCCCUGGAAAAUUAGUGCAAACACUUUCAUCACUGCGGAGAAGGGAAAUAUGCGCGGAGCUGUGAAAAUCUGCUUUGUUUUUUGUUUUUCUAAGAGGAGAUUUCCCCCUCCUUCAAACAGUGAAAUUUAUAUUGUUCUUUGUCUGCAAAUUAACCAGUUAAGUAGAAUUCCUGUAUGUCUCUUUCACUUUCUGCAAGCCAAGGCCCCUCUUUCUCUCCACCCUGUAUUCAUACAUAGUCCAGGAUCACCCCCUGUCCCCCUCCAAUGCUGCUUGAAAUUUCAUUCCAUUUUCGUCCUGACUUGUUCAAAGUAACAUUUAAAAUAUUUUAAUUCAAAUUCUUAUCUCAUCCAUCCUGUUUAAGUUCCAUUUUAAAGAAUCUUCUUUUCUUAUGAAUGGUCUGUUUUUGAUUCAGUGGAAAACUUGGGCUGCUCAACCCUUUCUCUCUCCUGUUAAAUUUUCACUUUUAUGAAGAGAUCAGAUGUCACCCUCUGGAAAUGGAGCGGGAGGAGACCCAGGAGCUCUGGCCCUCCCUGCAGCCCCGCGUGGUGCUCCCUGUGCAGCCGCUCCCCCUGUUCAGUGGAGAGGACAAUUAAUCUCCCACUACACAGAAGUGGUGCCUGAAUGCACCAAGAUGAAAAUGUUUGUGUACAGGGUGGUCUAUUUAAAACAGUUCCCAUAUGAUGCAAUGCAGCUUGACAAGGAAACUCUUUCAGAUGACUCACCAUUUCACAAUAACAAUUAGCAUUUGAGAAUCUUGCAUAGAACACCCAGCAGAAGAAUAUUUUAUUGAUUUCUUAAGAGUUUCCACACGCUGGCUGGGGCUUCAAUCAAGACAACCUAUUAAAGACUGAUGUCCAAUUUCAUUUGUAUGAGUUCGCAGUAAGGGAGAUAAAGUUUAACAGUGCAAAAGAGAAGGACUUAGGAAAUGCAGACUUCAAAUUCAGAUAAGCCAUCAGUGGGACCUAGUUUUUCAAAAAACCAAUAAAAUGUCUGGAUGCAUUAAUGAAGGCAUAAUAUUUCAAAUGAAGGAGGUGAUAAUCAAUCACAUUAUAUUCUUUGAUGGUCAGGCUAUAUUUGGAGUAUUUUUUAAGUUACAGGCAAUGAAUUUUAAAAUAACCAGAAAGCAUCCAAGGUAGACAAUCUAAAUAAUGAAGACUGAAAACUAGAUUCUCUAGAAGAACAGGAUUCUGCAUUAGAAUUGGGUUGCAGUCCUAGCAGUCCCUUACCAGCUGUGAGCUUAGGCAAGUUACCUAAUCUUGCCUCAAUAUCCUCAUCUACAAAAAAGAUGAUAAUUUUUAAAAACCCAUACCAUGGGGUUAUUCUG